rnacentral:rRNA from 1 species
GAUGAACGCUGGCGGCGUGCCUAAUACAUGCAAGUCGAGCGAACGGACGAGAAGCUUGCUUCUCUGAUGUUAGCGGCGGACGGGUGAGUAACACGUGGAUAACCUACCUAUAAGACUGGGAUAACUUCGGGAAACCGGAGCUAAUACCGGAUAAUAUUUUGAACCGCAUGGUUCAAAAGUGAAAGACGGUCUUGCUGUCACUUAUAGAUGGAUCCGCGCUGCAUUAGCUAGUUGGUAAGGUAACGGCUUACCAAGGCAACGAUGCAUAGCCGACCUGAGAGGGUGAUCGGCCACACUGGAACUGAGACACGGUCCAGACUCCUACGGGAGGCAGCAGUAGGGAAUCUUCCGCAAUGGGCGAAAGCCUGACGGAGCAACGCCGCGUGAGUGAUGAAGGUCUUCGGAUCGUAAAACUCUGUUAUUAGGGAAGAACAUAUGUGUAAGUAACUGUGCACAUCUUGACGGUACCUAAUCAGAAAGCCACGGCUAACUACGUGCCAGCAGCCGCGGUAAUACGUAGGUGGCAAGCGUUAUCCGGAAUUAUUGGGCGUAAAGCGCGCGUAGGCGGUUUUUUAAGUCUGAUGUGAAAGCCCACGGCUCAACCGUGGAGGGUCAUUGGAAACUGGAAAACUUGAGUGCAGAAGAGGAAAGUGGAAUUCCAUGUGUAGCGGUGAAAUGCGCAGAGAUAUGGAGGAACACCAGUGGCGAAGGCGACUUUCUGGUCUGUAACUGACGCUGAUGUGCGAAAGCGUGGGGAUCAAACAGGAUUAGAUACCCUGGUAGUCCACGCCGUAAACGAUGAGUGCUAAGUGUUAGGGGGUUUCCGCCCCUUAGUGCUGCAGCUAACGCAUUAAGCACUCCGCCUGGGGAGUACGACCGCAAGGUUGAAACUCAAAGGAAUUGACGGGGACCCGCACAAGCGGUGGAGCAUGUGGUUUAAUUCGAAGCAACGCGAAGAACCUUACCAAAUCUUGACAUCCUUUGACAACUCUAGAGAUAGAGCCUUCCCCUUCGGGGGACAAAGUGACAGGUGGUGCAUGGUUGUUGUCAGCUCGUGUCGUGAGAUGUUGGGUUAAGUCCCGCAACGAGCGCAACCCUUAAGCUUAGUUGCCAUCAUUAAGUUGGGCACUCUAAGUUGACUGCCGGUGACAAACCGGAGGAAGGUGGGGAUGACGUCAAAUCAUCAUGCCCCUUAUGAUUUGGGCUACACACGUGCUACAAUGGACAAUACAAAGGGCAGCGAAACCGCGAGGUCAAGCAAAUCCCAUAAAGUUGUUCUCAGUUCGGAUUGUAGUCUGCAACUCGACUACAUGAAGCUGGAAUCGCUAGUAAUCGUAGAUCAGCAUGCUACGGUGAAUACGUUCCCGGGUCU